UGGGGAAUCUUGCACAGUGGAGGAAACUCUGAUGCAGCGACGCCGCGUGAGCGAAGAAGCCUUUCGGGGUGUAAAGCUCUUACGCCAGGGACGAUAAUGACGGUACCUGGAGAAGCAGCUGCGGCUAACUACGUGCCAGCAGCCGCGGUAAUACGUAGGCAGCAAGCGUUGUUCGGAAUUACUGGGCGUAAAGGGUGCGUAGGCGGCGCUCUAAGUUUGGUGUGAAAUCUCCCGGCUUAACUGGGAGGGUGCACUGAAAACUGGGGCGCUCGAGUAUGGGAGAGGAAAGCGGAAUUCCUGGUGUAGCGGUGAAAUGCGUAGAGAUCAGGAGGAACACCUGCGGUGCAGACGGCUUUCUGGACCAUCACUGACGCUGAGGCACGAAAGCGUGGGUAGCAAACA
rnacentral:rRNA from 1 species